CACACUGUCCAAUCUAAAGAAUGAAUUUUCACCUCCCAUGUUGUAAAGAAACAUUUUAGAAACAAACAACCCAUUCGGGAACCAAAUUGCCUCUUUCAAAGAAAACAUAGAUCAAAGGUGACCAAAACAAGACUCUACCAAUCUUCAUCACAGCUUUUCCGGCAUCUCUUUUUCUCUAAGCCGGCUCUCCUUAUUGCUUUCUAUCGCGCUCUGUUCGUCAGCCACAAAAUCAAGAAUCCCUCCCUCUAGAUGAGUAUUCUCCCAUCUUAUUCCUUCUGUAGCAAGGAGAUGUACUAAACCAUUUGCUUACCUUGAUUUUUUAGGUAAUCAAACGGGCAUCCCCAACAAUUACCAUUCUUCGAAAUCCCAGAUCGAGUCCUAUUUGCACUGCCUGGAGAUAGGGAUUGGCUCCUGUGAGCAUCUAUUGUAUUUGGUUGGAUUAACGAUGUCCUCUUAUCUGUAAGUCGUUCUUCGAAUGAAAAAUCUUGGUUUUACGACCAAACUUGGUAUGUGCUGAUGAGGUUUCAUUGAGGUCAUUUGAGAGAUAUUUUCCAACCGAGCUAAUUCCGAUAAUGUUGAAAGUGAUAUUUAAGUAUCUGAUUAAAAUGUUGCUAAGGAUGAGUAGAAACUCAUAAGGUAAGAGAAAAAUUUCAUAAUGUUAUGUUGAUAAUGAAUGUUAUGUUUUGUGUAUUUUUUAAAGUAAAAUUUUGAGGCUUUACGAUCUCCACCCUUCACCUUCAAAAUCUUAUACAACGAAAUUCACAAGAUUUAUGUUGAUUAAGCCCAAAAGUAUGAAAUCGAAGAGUUCAAUGGCUGAAUAAAUAAUAAU